UAGGGAAUCUUCCACAAUGGAGGAAAGUCUGAUGGAGCAACGCCGCGUGAGUGAAGAAGGGUUUCGGCUCGUAAAACUCUGUUGUUAAAGAAGAACAUAUCUGAGAGUAACUGUUCAGGUAUUGACGGUAUUUAACCAGAAAGCCACGGCUAACUACGUGCCAG
rnacentral:rRNA from 1 species